UACGGGGGGAGCAAGCGUUGUUCGGAUUUACUGGGCGUAAAGGGCGCGUAGGCGGCCAGCACACGUCAGUUGUGAAAUCUCCGAGCUUAACUCGGAAAGGUCAACUGAUACUGUGCGGCUAGAGUGCGGAAGGGGCAACUGGAAUUCUUGGUGUAGCGGUGAAAUGCGUAGAUAUCGGAAGGAACAUCAGUGGCGAAGGCGACUACCUGGCCUGUUUCUUGACGCUGAGGCGCGAAAGCUAGGGGAGCAAACGGG
rnacentral:rRNA from 1 species